AUUUUAUGGAAUUCAAUUGAAUUCCACGUUUUGUGUGCUUGGUUUGAAAAAAAAAAAUAGAAUUCAAUUCCAUGGAUUGGUUGGAACUAAAACCAAAUUCUACCAAAAUUAAUGGAAUUUGAAAUGAUUUCCACAAAACUUAAAUAACAUCAUUUUUUACACUAAAAUACCCUUAUAAAAAAACUUCCUCCCAAUUAAACUCCAUUGGCUAUAGAAGAAGAUGGAAAUACGAACUAACUUUUUAUCUAUUUAUUAUUAAUAUGUUAGAAUAAGUAUAUAAGAUAUUUUAUAUUUUCCCUAAUCUUUUUAAUAUUUAAGUUUAUUGUACUUACUAAUGACACUAUUUAUGCUGUCAUAUAAAUCUCCUAUAUUAUGUGACAUGUGAAUUUA
rnacentral:misc_RNA from 1 species